rnacentral:tRNA from 1 species
GAGAGAGGCUUGCCCGCAACUGAGGUUGCUAACCUCCGUGACCCAGGUUGGAGUCCUGGGCUCUCCUCG